GUUCUCAUCCGUGGUGAUUUGAGCCGACCGGCUUGCGGCCACGUUAAACAACUCGCUAAAAGGUCGGAGUUCACAAGCG
rnacentral:ncRNA from 2 species